ACAGUAAAUUACUGAAUGAUAACGAGGUGUUUUUUACUCCUGCACUCGUCCAUGCCAUCAGGGCCUCUCAAGAUAAGUGUAGCGUAGCUGUACAAGUGUAACUGCUUUCAUUAAGUUGUUGAAAAAUUGGCCCAGUGACUUAACAGUACUGGAAUUUUCUGGCAAUUGCACUUAAAUUACACUCAUGUGAUAAAAGACACAGCAGUGGUGAAGCUUUGACUGAUUCUUCUGCCAGGCUGAAGUUUGAUAUGAGCGUCAGGUGUGUGUAUCCUGAGCAGGAAUUCACACUUCACUCACCUCUACUUUAAACCAGCAUCAACUCCUGACGUCACGGUCAGUCCGACCUGUUCACCACAUCCCGACAACUUUUUUUUUUUUUUUUUUGUUUAAUCCACGCGCGCAGGAGCUCAGUGACGCAGUCGGGUAUGGAGCGCGCGUGGUUGUUGAGGUGUGUGUGUGUGUGUGUGAGAGAGAGAGAGACACACACACACCAGGCAACAUAUUUCUGUGACGUGAGGCACAAAGUCUCAAGAGAGCAAGAAGUCAAGCGGACAGGGGGGGAAAAAAACGGAAAGAAAAAAAAACACCCCCCAUCAAAAAGAAAGAGGCCAGCAGAGCGCGGAGAUGAAGACCUCCCACAGCCAAAGUCAGCCUGCGCCGCGCGGAGCCGCCAGCAGCCUGCAGAGCCUCAGCAGCAGCGCCAUGAGUCCACUCAGCACGGCCAGCAUCUCCCUCACAGCCCUGCUCAUCCUCAGCAUCCCAGUCUGCAACAGUGCUCCAGCAGAACUUCAGCAAGCCACGACAGACCAGAGGCAUCUUCUCCAGAUAGACGCUGUGUGCUCGUCCUACCUCUCCGCAGGCCUGAAGUCUUGGGCGUCUGACAUCUUAGGAGAACUCUGUGUCUUGAUGCUGGUUGAAAAGUCAAAGGAGCUGAAAGCGGAGGAAAAAAGUAAAAGGAGAGAAACGGAGGUCGACGUCUCUUUUUCCCUCUGAAGGCUCCGUCUGUGUACUCUCCUGUACGCUGGAGCAGUUAUUCACGUCUGUGUGUUCGGCUCUGUGUUCGUCAGACCCCUCAGUUGCACCCUCUCCUACAUCUAGUUUCUCAACUCCAUACCAGAAGAGAGAAAGGACUCUCAACGCGCGCUGAACUCCAGGGACCUGGGGGCAUCCAGAGCAGAGGUUACUUCCUCUAUCGGCCAAGAAAUGGAAGACGAUCCUUAGAAUAUGAUUAAAUUAAAGAGUGUCCACCUCUGAAGUGUAGUGUACAGAGACCACACACACACCCUGAGACCCGAGCUGCCGCACGCCGUCUGAGUGAUCCAGAGUCCAACCGCGGCCCGCUGCCACUGCUGUAUAGUGAUGUCUGAAUGUACACAAAGAAUAUGAUUAAAAUAUUAUUCACUUGUCCAGA